GUCGCCCUGUCCCAGGGGUCUGCAGAAGACAGGAGGUACAAAGCUGCAGCUAGGACCAGGACAAGGGAAGGGGAGCCUGCACGUCUAGUGGGGUGGGGCCCCCUGGAGCCUGCCGCCCCCUCCCGUGACAUCACAAUCCACUUGCCAGCCUACCACAAGCCCUUCCCUCACUGUCCUGUUCCCAUGGCGCCCCCUCCCAUGGCCUUGGCAGGGGGCUCUGAAUCCCUGAAAUGCACAGAACAUACUUUCAACAGGGCCCUGGAGACAAGGGGUAAGAUCCAUCACCUUUCCAUAGAAGAAAGUAGCCUCCGUCUCUCCGCGGCCUCUCUCGAGAUCAUUCUCCAAGCUGGGAACCAGGAGAGAAGCUCGUGACCUUACUGCAGAGCGGUCCCCCCACCCUGCCGCGUGGAGGGUCUCGAGGGGCAACGACCGCAAAGGCCGGGCGAGGGCUGCCCGCUGAGUCACGGGGACCCCCGACCUGACGCCAGGAGGCCGAGGGCUGGGGCGCAGCGAGGUCGCCGGACACCCCGCACCCCGCCCCUCCCAGCAGCCACGGGCGGAGGAGAGAGAGGCGCCGCGGGCAGAGCGGGAAGAGCCGCCGUCAGCUGGGCAGGGCUGGUCCCUCGCCUGGCGCGAGGUCAACGCCCGGAGAGCGCGACGUCACCGCGUCCGUCUGUGUCCCGGGUUAUAAACCUCUCUUAUUAGUGUUUCUGAUCUUGGAGUAUCUGCUGAAUAGAGAUCCACUUGGGCUAUGACCGCCUAACUGCUUCUUUAGGGCUAGAAAGCUGGCUUGCCUUUGAAUUACCUAGGAUGUGGCAUUAUUUCUGCAUAUUAUGGGGGUACAAAUGUUUAGGAUACGUAU